rnacentral:tRNA from 1 species
GGAAGUAUGGCAGAGAGGCUUAUUGCGCCUGUUUGCUAAACAGAUGGUGCCGAAAGGGCCCCCGAGGUUCGAAUCCUCGUACUUCCGCCA